UACAUGGGGUGCAAACGUUUGCUCGGAAUUAUUGGGCGUAAAGCGCGCGUAGGCGGUUACUCAAGUCGGAUGUGAAAGCCCUCGGCUUAACUGAGGAAGUGCACCCGAAACUGAGUAGCUAGAGUACUAAAGAGGGUCGCGGAAUUCCCGGUGUAGAGGUGAAAUUCGUAGAUAUCGGGAGGAACACCGGUGGCGAAGGCGGCGACCUGGGUAGAUACUGACGCUGAGGCGCGAAAGCGUGGGGAGCAAACAG
rnacentral:rRNA from 1 species